UACGAAGGGGACUAGCGUUGUUCGGAAUUACUGGGCGUAAAGCGCGCGUAGGCGGAUCGCUAAGUCAGGGGUGAAAUCCCAGGGCUCAACCCUGGAACUGCGUUUGAUACUGACGAUCUGGAGAUCGGGAGAGGUUGGUGGAAUUCCGAGUGUAGAGGUGAAAUUCGUAGAUAUUCGGAGGAACACCAGUGGCGAAGGCGACUGACUGGACAAGUAUUGACGCUGAGGUGCGAAAGCGUGGGGAGCAAACAGG
rnacentral:rRNA from 1 species